rnacentral:rRNA from 1 species
UGAACGCUAGCUACAGGCUUAACACAUGCAAGUCGAGGGGCAGCAUUUCAGUUUGCUUGCAAACUGGAGAUGGCGACCGGCGCACGGGUGAGUAACACGUAUCCAACCUGCCGAUAACUCGGGGAUAGCCUUUCGAAAGAAAGAUUAAUACCCGAUAGUAUAAUGAGACCGCAUGGUCUUAUUAUUAAAGAAUUUCGGUUAUCGAUGGGGAUGCGUUCCAUUAGGCAGUUGGUGAGGUAACGGCUCACCAAACCUUUGAUGGAUAGGGGUUCUGAGAGGAAGGUCCCCCACAUUGGAACUGAGACACGGUCCAAACUCCUACGGGAGGCAGCAGUGAGGAAUAUUGGUCAAUGGGCGCAGGCCUGAACCAGCCAAGUAGCGUGAAGGAUGACUGCCCUAUGGGUUGUAAACUUCUUUUAUAUGGGAAUAAAGUUUUCCACGUGUGGAAUUUUGUAUGUACCAUAUGAAUAAGGAUCGGCUAACUCCGUGCCAGCAGCCGCGGUAAUACGGAGGAUCCGAGCGUUAUCCGGAUUUAUUGGGUUUAAAGGGAGCGUAGGUGGACAGUUAAGUCAGUUGUGAAAGUUUGCGGCUCAACCGUAAAAUUGCAGUUGAUACUGGCUGUCUUGAGUACAGUAGAGGUGGGCGGAAUUCGUGGUGUAGCGGUGAAAUGCUUAGAUAUCACGAAGAACUCCGAUUGCGAAGGCAGCUCACUGGACUGCAACUGACACUGAUGCUCGAAAGUGUGGGUAUCAAACAGGAUUAGAUACCCUGGUAGUCCACACAGUAAACGAUGAAUACUCGCUGUUUGCGAUAUACAGUAAGCGGCCAAGCGAAAGCAUUAAGUAUUCCACCUGGGGAGUACGCCGGCAACGGUGAAACUCAAAGGAAUUGACGGGGGCCCGCACAAGCGGAGGAACAUGUGGUUUAAUUCGAUGAUACGCGAGGAACCUUACCCGGGCUUAAAUUGCAUUUGAAUAUAUUGGAAACAGUAUAGCCGUAAGGCAAAUGUGAAGGUGCUGCAUGGUUGUCGUCAGCUCGUGCCGUGAGGUGUCGGCUUAAGUGCCAUAACGAGCGCAACCCUUAUCUUUAGUUACUAACAGGUCAUGCUGAGGACUCUAGAGAGACUGCCGUCGUAAGAUGUGAGGAAGGUGGGGAUGACGUCAAAUCAGCACGGCCCUUACGUCCGGGGCUACACACGUGUUACAAUGGGGGGUACAGAAGGCAGCUACCUGGUGACAGGAUGCUAAUCCCAAAAGCCUCUCUCAGUUCGGAUCGAAGUCUGCAACCUGACUUCGUGAAGCUGGAUUCGCUAGUAAUCGCGCAUCAGCCAUGGCGCGGUGAAUACGUUCCCGGGCCUUGUACACACCGCCCGUCAAGCCAUGAAAGCCGGGGGUACCUGAAGUACGUAACCGCAAGGAGCGUCCUAGGGUAAAACUGGU